GAGACACUAGUAAAAUGAUAUUACACUGCCUUGUCAAGACAGAAUUGUGGGCUGAUCUCCCACGUGCCUUA
rnacentral:tRNA from 1 species